GGCCCUGAUAGAGGCCGCUCUACCAUGAGCCGACCGCUCGAAGGUCCGCGCGGCCACGCGGCCAGCCCCGGGCUCCUCUGGGCCACGCGUGUCACGUCAACACUCGCCGGGCUCCACGAACUGGCGUUGUCAGAUGAAACACGGCACAACUGGUUUGCAUCUCAGAUGAACAAGGGGUCAUGUCUUAGUACAACGUGAAAGGCAGCACGUGGUGACGUCCAUCUCGCAGCCCAGGGCAGUCUCGCCAGGCCUGCCCAGAAGGGGCCUCUGGAAGGCACGAACGGAACCUGUCCUCUUUACGCUGGGCCCAGCACAGGACGUGUUUGGAUGGAUGCUGCAGUAACAGGGCCUCCUCCCUACCCUUGAGGGCCAGGCACACUCAGGACCUCCCUCCCUCUGCCAUCCAGAAGGCAGGUCCAGAUCUAAACCCUACUGGAAAAGAGGCAGUAAAUUGUAUCAAUGAGCCUGAACUUUACUUACUUUAUUUGAGACCGGGUCUUGCUCUUGCUGUAACACAGUGGUACGAUCACAGCACACUGAGGCCUCAACCUCCUGGGCUCAAGUGAUCCAUGCCCAGUGAACUUGGACUUUAGAAACAGACACAAAUGGGCUUGAAACCCCAAUUUUGCCACUUGAAAAAAGCUGUCAGGCACAGUGGCUCAAGCCUGUAAUCCCAGCAGUUUGGGAGGCUGGGUGGCCCGGAUUGCUGGAGCCUGGGAAUUUGAGACCAGCCUGGCCUACACAGUCAGGCUCCAUCUCCACAAAAAAAAUUUUUAGGCCGGGCGUGGUGGCUCACGCCUGUAAUCCCAGCACUUUGGGAGGUUGGGAUCACCUGAGGUCAGGAAUUGGAGACAA
rnacentral:lncRNA from 10 species